AUACGGAGGGUGCGAGCGUUGUCCGGAUUUAUUAGGUUUAAAGGGUGUGUAGGCGGGAGCUUAAGUCAGUGGUGAAAUCUCACAGCUUAACUGUGAAACUGCCAUUGAAACUGGGUUUCUUGAGUAUAGUUGAGGUAGGCGGAAUGUGUAAUGUAGCGGUGAAAUGCAUAGAUAUUACACAGAACACCGAUUGCGAAGGCAGCUUACUAAGCUAUUACUGACGCUGAUGCACGAAAGCGUGGGUAGCGAACAGGAUUAGAAACCCCAGUAGUCC
rnacentral:rRNA from 1 species